rnacentral:lncRNA from 1 species
UGUAUGUAUUUCCGAAAUGAACACAAUGGGAGGAUUAGUGAUCCUGGGUCAUGAUGCAAGCAGGACUUCAGCCUUUUCUACUUUAGGAACAGAGCACAGGAGACCAUGUACUUCUCCUCUGAAGCCGCUCAAAAACAGCUCGGAUGGAAAGACAAAUCCAUCAAGAUCGCUCCCUGAUCACUGACCCGCAGAUUCUCUAGCCGCGGUAGUAGAGCAGAAGCCGUUGCUUCUGCGAGGCCUGAGUGUCUCUAUUUCUGGACGAGAGAAAACCAGACAGUUUU